rnacentral:lncRNA from 1 species
AAAGCAUAACCUAAAUAGGUGUCACAUAGAUGGACAUUUGACCCUUUAUCCUCUAUAUGAUCCACCAACCCACUCCAUCAUUUCAUAGAAACAUGCUUGAUUGCUAUUUAAAAAAUUUCUUAGUAACUAAAUAUCUCUGUUGCAGCUAGCAUGGAUUCAUCAUACUCCUUGGCCCCACUAGCUACUGUUAGGUCAAGAUGUGUUUCAUUACCAAAGCAUGCCUUCUUAUAAGAACUAUAGUGGAAACUAGACCCUGGCAUAGAUUCUCUGUCCAUAACCAUCCAAUAUAAACAUUAAACUAAGUAAAUGAGAAUGACUAGCUUGUAACUUGACAAAGAAUAAAUCAAAAGGUAAUUUAAAAGGACAUGACAGAAUAUCAAUUAGCAUUAUAAAAGGUGGAGGGUUUAGAAGAAUUAUCAGAAAAAUAAAGACACGUCUUCAUUAUAAGGCAACAAUAGAUAUGGCUUACACUGAUAAACCUAGAUUACCAUUCCAUGUGAAUGGUUGAUAACAAAUGGGACAAGCUAAAAUGCUCUUGCUGAUGCUAACCUCCUUUUCAACUAAAAUAGGAUCCUGAACAUAAGAAAUAAGAUACAAUAUAUUAUGUCAUGAUAGGAAAAAUUAAUUAAUUCGUAAUUCCUCAUGUGAACUGACUGUAGUUGAAAAAAUAAAAAGACAUCAUCUCAUCAGCACUGUAUGAUAAUUUUCCUCACAUUUUCCUUUAAAAUUUCCAAAAACCAAACAUAGGGAAAAAGAAAAAGAAAUUAAAGCACAAAAGAUGAAUUUGGUUGUACAGAAUUUGCAGCCUUGGAAUUGAUAAUUUUCCCCUUUUGUGGUGGAUGCCCUAAUGUCAAGUCCACCAUUUGGUUGUUUUCUAUACCAAUUGGAUUUCCAAUUGAAUUUAAAAGCCAUAAACCCAAAUUCCCCAAGAACAAGUAAGCAACUCCAAGAUAAAAGCCAAGUUCUCCAGUUCCGUAAAAAUUGAACUUUAAACCAAAUCCAAUUCUACCCAACCAAAUGCAGCCUAAUUCUUCAAGAACCAUAAAAGAACAAUGAAUGAAUCAAGAAUGGACAAAUACAUUAAAAAAAAAUCAGGAGCAAUACAAAUUCUCAAAAACACUAAUCAUAAAGAAUCACAUAUGAAUUAAAACAAUUCCUAUGAAUUCAUUUUAUGCUCGAUUGACGACUGAGACAAUUCCUAGAGAAUGCUCGAUUGACUAAAAAAAUAUAACAGUAGAACUUGAUUUGUCUCCCACAUACGUUCAUUGUACAUGCGCACAAGGUUACCAAUUGACACAACCACCAAUUGCAAUGGAAAAUGGGGGCUGGUUGUUUUGGAGAAUGGAGGAAUUUAUUUUAAAAGAGACUUUCAACACGCACAGAAGGAGGGGUGAAUAAAAAAAAAAAUUAAAGAUAAGGGGUGAGAAGACACAACCGAGAAGGAGGAUGUCUUUUAGGGUGGAGAAAACACACAACGGGAACUCUCCACUACCAGCCACAAGAAUAGUAAAAAAAUGUGACCAGAACAGGGCACAAAUGGGUAAAUCAAAAUGAACAAAACCCACAUUUCAUGCCUAAUCAAAAAAUCAAGAAUAGAGCAGAACAGAGCAUGUAUCCGUGAACCGUGUUUCUUCUCCACUACAACCCAUAAAAUUAGGGCACGAUUUGCAAAGAGAAACUCGACCAACAUUAGAACACUUGCAAUAAAUGAUGAAUAUGGAGUUGAAAGAGUGGAGAAUCACCUGAUUUGUCGCUCGUUGGUGGAAUUUGUAAGAGAAGAAUGGAGUUUCAGUGCUUAUUCUCUGUUAUGAGAGUCACAAAAUGGAGAUUCAAAAAUGAUCUCCAGUUUUUAAUACUCAAGAUCUCACACUAGGGCUUGGAAACACACCUUCUAGCUAGAUCUCCAAUGUCAAGAGCCUCAUCUGAAG